AAACAGAGGGCUGAACCUUCAAGCAGAGGCGUCUGACCUGUGGGGCAGUUUGGACCAAUAUUUCCAAAAGGGCUAUCGCCAUCAUCUCAUCCACAGGAUAACAUGAUCGUGCUUGCCUCAGGCAAUCAACACAUUAAUCGUUCUCUAGAGGCUGUCCAGCUGACCGGAAGAGAUCCUGAGGAUUUAAUAUCGCAUCAAUAUUUUGAAGAACAACCACCAUUUCACCAGGACGCUUGCCUCAACUGCUGACGGCUGUGGAGAGGUCUAGUGCUCAACCAGCGGACAGAGAUCCAGGAUUCUCACUGGGUCGCAACCACAGGAGAACCAGUUCCAGUUCUGAGAAUCCACACCUGUGAGCCUGUAGGGCUUCCAGUGAAGGAUUUCCAUCGGCACACUCAAACAGACCCAGGUCCAGAUCGUCCAGGUGCCCUCAGUGUUGCAGAACUACACGUCAGCAGUUGGUUCUGAUGUCUAGAGCCUUUAGGCUCAUGUCAGAAAUUAGGUGUAAACUAUGACAAUUUGUAAAUGUGAGUUGUAAAUGUGAUUUGUAAACUGUU